rnacentral:lncRNA from 1 species
AUAAACGCUUGGAGGUCAGGAGGACAGCAGUGGUGUCGUCUAGGAGUGCAGUGGUGUUGUUUAGGGGUGCAGUGGUGUUAUCUACGGGUGCAGUGGUGUCGUCUAGGGGUGCAGUGGUGUCGUCUAGGGUGUGCAGUGGUGUUGUCUAGGGGUGCAGUGGUGUUAUCUACGGGUGCAGUGGUGUCGUCUAGGGGUGCCGUGUGUCGUCUAGGGGUGCCAGUGGUGUAUUACGGGAAGGUGAUACGUGCGUGCAGUGGUGUAUUACGGGUGCAGGUUCGGUGCAGUGGUGUGUCUAGGGGUGCAGUGGUGUCGCCUAUGGGUGCAGUGGGUAUCUACGGGUGCAGUGUGUUGUCUGGGUCUCUGAUAUCACUUAUUAAUGAUAUCUACAAAGCGCAUUGAUGUGAAUCACACUGCUGCCCUCUCAUUUAGUUAUUUGCGCCGUAGGAUUGUGGGUUGUUGUGGAUUCUUUUCACCAAUGUAUUUUAACCAAUUACAGUGAAUAAUUGAAGGUUUAAGCUGCCUAUUAAUCAUGUUUUUGCUACCAACAAUGAAUAAAAGUGCUCUUGCAACAGCUGCAAAGUCUGGGUGGAUCCCAGCCUGUGGAAUAAACAGUCUGAGGGAUCCCGCCUGUGGAAUAACAGUCUUAGGUGG